rnacentral:rRNA from 1 species
GACGAACGCUGGCGGCGUGCCUAACACAUGCAAGUGGAGCGACGAACCAGGCUUCGACCUGGGGCAAAGCCGCGAACGGGUGAGUAACACGUGGGUAACCUGCCCCGAUGAUUGGGACAACCCGAGGAAACUCGGGCUAAUACCGAAUGUGCCCUCCGACCGCAAGGUCACUGGGGAAAGAAGCUUCGGCCUCCGCAUCGGGAUGGGCCCGCGGCCCAUUAGCUUGUUGGUGAGGUAACGGCUCACCAAGGCGACGAUGGGUAGCUGGUCUGAGAGGACGAUCAGCCACACUGGGACUGAGACACGGCCCAGACUCCUACGGGAGGCAGCAGUGGGGAAUCUUGCGCAAUGCGCGAAAGCGUGACGCAGCAACGCCGCGU